UACGUAGGGGGCAAGCGUUGUCCGGAUUUAUUGGGCGUAAAGCGCGCGCAGGCGGUCUACCAAGUUCGGAGUGACAGUUUCCGGCUUAACCGGAAAAGGUCUUCGAAAACUGGUGGACUUGAGGACUUGAGGGGGAGACGGAAUUCCGGGUGUAGCGGUGGAAUGCGUAGAGAUCCGGAAGAACACCGGUGGCGAAGGCGGUUGGCUGGGCCGUAGCUGACACUGAGGCGCGACAGCGUGGGGAGCAAACAGG
rnacentral:rRNA from 1 species